rnacentral:rRNA from 1 species
UACGGAGGGUGCAAGCGGUAUCCGGAUUCACUGGGGUUAAAGGGUGCGUAGGUGGGCAGGUAAGUCAGUGGUGAAAUCUCCGGGCUUAACCCGGAAACUGCCGUUGAUACUAUUUGUCUUGAAUAUUGUGGAGGUAAGCGGAAUAUGUCAUGUAGCGGUGAAAUGCUUAGAUAUGACAUAGAACACCAAUUGCGAAGGCAGCUUACUACACAAUGAUUGACACUGAGGCACGAAAGCGUGGGGAUCAAACAGG